rnacentral:rRNA from 1 species
AUACGGAGGGUGCGAGCGUUAAUCGGAAUUACUGGGCGUAAAGGGUACGUAGGCGGUUAUUUAAGUUGGAUGUGAAAUCCCCGGGCUCAACCUGGGAACUGCAUCCAAAACUGGGUGACUAGAGUGUAGAAGAGGUUAGCGGAAUUCCAGGUGUAGCAGUGAAAUGCGUAGAUAUCUGGAGGAACAUCAGUGGCGAAGGCGGCUAACUGGUAUAACACUGACGCUGAGGUACGAAAGCGUGGGGAGCGAACGGAAUUAGAUACCCUAGUAGUCC